rnacentral:lncRNA from 1 species
CAUAUCUCUCUCAGCCAUUAAUAACAUCCAGGAUUGCAUCUACACAUUACGCCGGAGAUGAGUUUGCGAGGAUUGCAUCGGAGAUGAUGGGAAUAAGUUUAUGGGUUUUGUUCCAGUUUUUUAAUGUCAUUCAUAGUAAGGUCACAUAUUUGAUGAUUUGCUUAAAUGAAGACUUGGAUUUUUAUUAUUGAACUUGAAGAUUUACAUAUAUAAAUAGUAUAUUUACAUAAUGGUAUAUUUACA